CUGAGAAACUUAGCUCCACCGAAAGAAAAGGAGUGGCGAACGGGUGAGUAACACGUGGGUAACCUGCCCAUCAGAAGGGGAUAACACUUGGAAACAGGUGCUAAUACCGUAUAACAAUCGAAACCGCAUGGUUUCGGUUUGAAAGGCGCUUUUGCGUCACUGAUGGAUGGACCCGCGGUGCAUUAGCUAGUUGGUGAGGUAACGGCUCACCAAGGCAACGAUGCAUAGCCGACCUGAGAGGGUGAUCGGCCACAUUGGGACUGAGACACGGCCCAAACUCCUACGGGAGGCAGCAGUAGGGAAUCUUCGGCAAUGGACGCAAGUCUGACCGAGCAACGCCGCGUGAGUGAAGAAGGUUUUCGGAUCGUAAAACUCUGUUGUUAGAGAAGAACAAGGAUGAGAGUAGAAUGUUCAUCCCUUGACGGUAUCUAACCAGAAAGCCACGGCUAACUACGUGCCAGCAGCCGCGGUAAUACGUAGGUGGCAAGCGUUGUCCGGAUUUAUUGGGCGUAAAGCGAGCGCAGGCGGUUUCUUAAGUCUGAUGUGAAAGCCCCCGGCUCAACCGGGGAGGGUCAUUGGAAACUGGGAAACUUGAGUGCAGAAGAGGAGAGUGGAAUUCCAUGUGUAGCGGUGAAAUGCGUAGAUAUAUGGAGGAACACCAGUGGCGAAGGCGGCUCUCUGGUCUGUAACUGACGCUGAGGCUCGAAAGCGUGGGGAGCAAACAGGAUUAGAUACCCUGGUAGUCCACGCCGUAAACGAUGAGUGCUAAGUGUUGGAGGGUUUCCGCCCUUCAGUGCUGCAGCUAACGCAUUAAGCACUCCGCCUGGGGAGUACGACCGCAAGGUUGAAACUCAAAGGAAUUGACGGGGGCCCGCACAAGCGGUGGAGCAUGUGGUUUAAUUCGAAGCAACGCGAAGAACCUUACCAGGUCUUGACAUCCUUUGACCACUCUAGAGAUAGAGCUUCCCCUUCGGGGGCAAAGUGACAGGUGGUGCAUGGUUGUCGUCAGCUCGUGUCGUGAAAAUGUUGGGUUAAGUCCCGCAACGAGCGCAACCCUUAUUGUUAGUUGCCAUCAUUUAGUUGGGCACUCUAGCGAGACUGCCGGUGACAAACCGGAGGAAAGGUUGGGGAUGACGUCAAAUCAUCAUGCCCCUUAUGACCUGGGCUACCACCUUGCUACAAUGGGAAGUACAACGAAUCCCGAAAUCCCGAGGCUAACUAAUUCCUUAAACUUCCCCUCAUUUCGGAUUGGAGGGGGCACUCGCCUACUAGAACCCGAAUCCCUUUUAA
rnacentral:rRNA from 1 species